CAGAGGCCCCAAGCGUUACUGAGAAUCACUGGGUUUAAAGGGUGCGUAGGUGGCGCGUUAAGUCCGUUGUGAAAGCCCUGGGCUCAACCCAGGAACUGCUUCGGAUACUGGCGCGCUUGAGGCUAGUAGGGGUCACUGGAACUGACGGUGGAGCGGUGAAAUGCGUAGAUAUCGUCAGGAACGCCAAUGGUGAAGACAGGUGACUGGGCUAGUUCUGACACUGAGGCACGAAAGCGUGGGGAGCGAACGGGAUUAGAUACCCCGGUAGUCCACGCCCUAAACGAUGCAGACUAGACUGCAGCGGGUUACACCCCGUUGCGGUCGGAGCGAAAUUGUUAAGUCUGCCACCUGGGAAGUACGGUCGCAAGGCUA
rnacentral:rRNA from 1 species